rfam:Danio rerio unplaced genomic contig NA29, GRCz11 reference primary assembly.
GAUAGCGUAGCCAAGGGAUCUAAGGCGCUGGAUUUAGGUUCCAGUCUCUUUGUGGGUGUGCGUUCAAAUCCCAUCCGCUGCCA